rnacentral:lncRNA from 1 species
UACUAUGUUACCGUUCAUGUUUCAUAUUUAGAAGUAAGUGUUAUCAGCAGAUAGCAGGGGUAUCAAUAGGUAGCCCGCUCGCCAUACCAUUGGCCGAGUUGAUCCUUAGAGACAUUGCAUAUAGAGUUUUGCCCUCUUUUGACCACCACCUCUUAAAGUAUAUAAGGUAUGUAGAUGAUGUUCUAACCAUUUGGCACAAUGUUAACAACAUAGAUAAUUUCUUAGGCAGCCAUGAUACUUGACCAAUAUGGCACGACCCUGAGACUAGAGCAAGUAAGUACUGAACAAGUUAAUUAUUUGGAUAUUAGGAUAAAAAUAGAGCAAAGUGUUUUGAGAACUGCAGAAAAUUGUUAUCAACCAGUAUUAAUACCAAGGUGGUCCCCAGAUAUAACGUCUUAUAAAACCUCCGCAUUUAGAUGUUAUUUUAGAAGGGCAUACCACUACUCCUCAACUGAUGAAGAUUUACAUAGAGAAUUCGCUUA